AGCUAAAUGUACUUAUAUUUAGUAAUAUCUGCCCACUGGUAAUUAAAUGGCCGCAGUACCUUGACUGUGCUAAGGUAGCAUAAUCAAUUGUCUUUUAAAUGAAGUCUAGAAUGAAUGGGAUCAUGGGGGGAUACUGUCUCACUAUAAUUAUAUUAAAAUUUUUAAUAAGGUGAAAAUACCUUAAUAGUAAUAAAAGACGAGAAGACCCUUAGAGUUUUUUUGUUGGGGUGACAAAUAAGCAAACCUUAUUUAAUGAGAGAUUUAACUACCUUAGGGAUAACAGCAUAAUUCUUAGAUGAGAUUAUGACCUCGAUGUUGGACUAGGAAAUUAAUAAUAAGAAAUUAAAUUUUAAUGUUCUGUUCGAACAUUUUCUCCU
rnacentral:rRNA from 1 species